rnacentral:rRNA from 1 species
UACAGAGGUCCCGAGCGUUGUUCGGAUUUAUUGGGCGUAAAGGGUGCGUAGGCGGCGGAGUAAGUUGGGUGUGAAAUCCCGGGGCUCAACCUCGGAAUGGCAUUCAAUACUGCUUCGCUAGAGUACUGGAGAGGAGGCUGGAAUUUACGGUGUAGCAGUGAAAUGCGUAGAUAUCGUAAGGAAGGCCGGUGGCGAAAAGCGAGCCUCUGGACAGUUACUGACGCUGAUGCACGAAGGCCAGGGGGAGCAAAACGGGG